rnacentral:hammerhead_ribozyme from 1 species
AGGCGAAACGGCGGGCUGGGUUCUUCCCCCUUUUUCAGCCCGCCGUCUUCCGUGUGUGGCGGCGCGGAACCGAUGAGCCAGCCAAAG